rnacentral:rRNA from 1 species
CUCCUACGGGAGGCAGCAGUGAGGAAUAUUGGACAAUGGGUGAAAGCCUGAUCCAGCCAUCCCGCGUGAAGGAUGACGGUCCUAUGGAUUGUAAACUUCUUUUGUAUAGGGAUAAACCAUUCUACGUGUAGAAUGCUGAAGGUACUAUACGAGUAAGCACCGGCUAACUCCGUGCCAGCAGCCGCGGUAAUACGGAGGGUGCAAGCGUUAUCCGGAUUUAUUGGGUUUAAAGGGUCCGCAGGCGGGCCGAUAAGUCAGUGGUGAAAUCUCAUAGCUUAACUAUGAAACUGCCGUUGAUACUGUCGGUCUUGAGUAAAUUAGAGGUAGCUGGAAUAAGUAGUGUAGCGGUGAAAUGCAUAGAUAUUACUUAGAACACCAAUUGCGAAGGCAGGUUACCAUGAUUUAACUGACGCUGAGGGACGAAAGCGUGGGGAGCGAACAGGA